rnacentral:rRNA from 1 species
CGCGUAGGUGGUUUGAUAAGCGAGAUGUGAAAGCCCCGGGCUUAACCUGGGAACGGCAUUUCGAACUGUCAGGCUAGAGUAUGGUAGAGGGUAGUGGAAUUUCCUGUGUAGCGGUGAAAUGCGUAGAUAUAGGAAGGAACACCAGUGGCGAAGGCGGCUACCUGGACCAAUACUGACACUGAGGUGCGAAAGCGUGAGGAGCAAACA